rnacentral:rRNA from 1 species
CCUACGGGUGGCUGCAGUGAGGAAUAUUGGUCAAUGGGCGAGAUCCUGAACCAGCCAAGCCGCGUGAAGGAUGACUGCCCUAUGGGUUGUAAACUUCUUUUAUCGUGGAAUAAAAUGCUGCACGUGUCCCUUUUUUUCUGUCUACUAUGAAUACGGAUCGGCUAACUCCGUGCCAGCAGCCGCGGUAAUACUGAGGAUCCGAGCGUUAUCCGGAUUUAUUGGGUUUAACGGGUGCGUAGGUGGGUGGGUAAGUCAGUUGUGAAAUGUUGCGGGUCAACCGUUGAAGUGCAGUGGAAACUGGCAGACUUGAGUACAGGAGAGGUAGGCGGAAUGCGUGGUGUAGCGGUGAAAUGCUUAGAUAUCACGAAGAACUCCGAUUGCGAAGGCAGCUUACUGGACUGAAACUGACGUUGAGGCUCGAAAGUGUGGGGAGCAAACAGGAUUAGAUACCCUGGUAGUC